ACAUAAUUGAAAUUAUUACAUUAGACCUAAUGAAAUGUUCAGCUUGACAUAACAACACUCUUUGUCAUCUAUUAUUGUUAUUAGUCCCAAUUUGUUAUCAAACACAGUCUAUUUAUAUUAACAGUCGUGCAAUCAGGAACCAUAAAGUAAACAAUCGUUCCCUCCAGUUGCUUUCUGAAGCAGAUCUAUAAGAAAUCGGAAUUACUGCUGUGGGACCACGGAAAACCAUACUUGCGACUAUUGGUAAAUUACGUGCAGCUCAAUCACAAGCUGGCGAAAACGAAGGGCCCCGUGACGAGAACCUAAGAGCCAUUUUAGUAAACGAUGUAGCAUUUCGGAAUAUCGUUUACAAUGAGCUGGACCAAAACAUCGUUCCUAAAGUAAAGCAUUUGCACGAGAUGGUACGAAUUUUGUGCGGACGGUUUGAAAAGGCGAUUUACGACCAGCAAGGAUAUCCAUCCACAAAUGAUCAAUGGCAAUUGGCCAAACAAAUCGUACGAGCAUUUCCUCAAUUGAAAACCACAAGGAUCAAUGAAAAUGCCCCGUGUGAGAAUCUUUCUCUGUAAUGAUUAUUCAACAACUGUAUUCAUU